rnacentral:rRNA from 1 species
AUAGCGUAUAUUAAAGUUGUUGCAGUUAAAAAGCUCGUAGUUGGAUUUCAAGGGAUGCACUAGGGACAACCUACGUGCUCUCUACCAGUCUUUGACUGUUACUGUGAGAAAAUUAGAGUGUUUCAAGCAGGCUGUUGCAGGAAUACAUUAGCAUGGAAUAACGAAUGGGUCUAGAAUCUUGGUUAAUUCUAGAUUACGAUUAAUAGGGACAGUUGGGGGCAUUAGUAUUUAAUUGUCAGAGGUGAAAUUCUUGGAUUUGUUAAAGACUAACGUAUG